rnacentral:rRNA from 1 species
CCUACGGGAGACAGCAGUGGGGGAUAUUGGACAAUGGGGGGAACCCUGAUCCAGCGACGCCGCGUGAGUGAAGAAGUAUUUCGGGAUGUAAAGCUCUGUCAGCAGGGAAGAAAGAAAUGACGGUACCGGACCAAGAAGCCGCGGCUAACGCCGGGCCAGCAGCCGCGGUAAUACGUAGGGGGCAAGCGUUAUCCGGAAUUACUGGGUGUAAAGGGAGCGUAGCCGGUGAAGUAAGUCUGGAGUGAAAGGCCGGGGCCCAACCCCGGGACUGCUCUGGAAACUAUUGAACUUGAGUGCAGGAGAGGUAAGCGGAAUUCCUAGUGUAGCGGUGACAUGCGUAGAUAUUAGGAGGAACACCAGUGGCGCAGGCGGCUUACUGGCCUGUACCUGACGUUGAGGCUCGAAAGCGUGGGGAGCAAACAGGAUUAGAUACCCGAGUAGUC